rnacentral:rRNA from 1 species
GCAGCGCGGGGCAACCUGGCGGCGAGUGGCGAACGGGUGAGUAUACCAUAGAUAACGUGCCCUGGAGUGGAGGAUAACGCAGCGAAAGUUGCGCUAAUACCGCAUACGAUCUAAGGAUGAAAGCGGGGGAUUCGCAAGAACCUCGUGCUCCUGGAGCGGCCGAUAUCUGAUUAGCUAGUUGGUGGGGUAAAGGCCUACCAAGGCAUCGAUCAGUAGCUGGUCUGAGAGGACGACCAGCCACACUGGAACUGAGACACGGUCCAGACUCCUACGGGAGGCAGCAGUGGGGAAUUUUGGACAAUGGGCGAAAGCCUGAUCCAGCAAUGCCGCGUGAGUGAAGAAGGCCUUCGGGUUGUAAAGCUCUUUUGUCAGGGAAGAAACGGUGAAGGCUAAUAUCCUUUGCUAAUGACGGUACCUGAAGAAUAAGCACCGGCUAACUACGUGCCAGCAGCCGCGGUAAUACGUAGGGUGCAAGCGUUAAUCGGAAUUACUGGGCGUAAAGCGUGCGCAGGCGGUUUUGUAAGUCUGUCGUGAAAUCCCCGGGCUCAACCUGGGAAUUGCGAUGGAGACUGCAAGGCUAGAAUCUGGCAGAGGGGGGUAGAAUUCCACGUGUAGCAGUGAAAUGCGUAGAGAUGUGGAGGAACACCGAUGGCGAAGGCAGCCCCCUGGGUCAAGAUUGACGCUCAUGCACGAAAGCGUGGGGAGCAAACAGGAUUAGAUACCCUGGUAGUCCACGCCCUAAACGAUGUCUACUAGUUGUCGGGUUUUAAUUAACUUGGUAACGCAGCUAACGCGUGAAGUAGACCGCCUGGGGAGUACGGUCGCAAGAUUAAAACUCAAAGGAAUUGACGGGGACCCGCACAAGUGGUGGAUGAUGUGGAUUAAUUCGAUGCAACGCGAAAACCUUACCUACCCUUGACAUGUACGGAAGCCACGANAGAUCGAGG